ACCCCCUGGCAAUGGGCAAAAAGACCUGAUUUGUGGUGCUGUUCUUAUAUCAGUCAGGGGGAAAGCAGACGUACAGUCCUUUGUUCAUCCUAGCUUGAUGCCUGGGUUGGUGGCCAAAGCUAUUUCAUGCCCGGGGCACAUAA
ensembl:snoRNA